GAUGAACGCUAGCGGCAGGCCUAAUACAUGCAAGCUGAACGGUAAAUGUUGUAGCAAUACGAUAUGAGAGUAGCGUAAGGGUGCGUAACACGUAUGCAAUCUACCCGCAACAGGAGGAUAGCUCCCCGAAAGGGGAAUUAAUACUCCAUAAGAUCACGAGAGGGCAUCUGAUUGUGAUUAAACUCCAAGGGGUUGCGGAUGGGCAUGCGUCUGAUUAGUUAGUUGGUGAGGUAACGGCUCACCAAGACGAUGAUCAGUAGGGGAACUGAGAGGUUGAUCCCCCACACUGGCACUGAGAUACGGGCCAGACUCCUACGGGAGGCAGCAGUAGGGAAUAUUGGUCAAUGGGUGAGAGCCUGAACCAGCCAUGCCGCGUGCAGGAAGAAAGCCUUCUGGGUUGUAAACUGCUUUUGCCAGGGGAUAAAAUACCCAUGCGUGGGAAGUUGAAGGUACCUGGUGAAUAAGCCACGGCUAACUACGUGCCAGCCGCCGCUGUAAGAC
rnacentral:rRNA from 1 species